rnacentral:rRNA from 1 species
CAUUAAUGAAAUAACAUCGGAGGGAGGAAUAUGGGGGAAGCUGUUGCUGGCCUUUUUGGCAUGUGCACACUCUUCUGAGGACCUCUCGACGUCUUUCAUCUCUCACCUGUGCACCAAUUGUAGGUUAGAUUUCUCUCUCCAGUAGGAGGGGGAGGUCGUUAAUAACCUANGUAUUCAAUAUACAUCUUCGUGUAGAAAGUCCCAGAAUGUUUACUAUCAUAGAGUUGCGACUUCUAGGAGUUGUGAAUCUUUGAGAUAAAAGUUUAUUACAACUUUCAGCAAUGGAUCUCUUGGCUCUCGCAGCGAUGAAGAACGCAGCGAAAAGCGAUAUGUAAUGUGAAUAGCAGAUCUACAGUGAAUCAUCGAAUCUUUGUACGCACCUCGCGCUCCUUGGUAUUCCGAGGAGCAUGCCUGUUUGAGUGUCAGUARUAUCUCAACCCCCUCUUGAKUAGAUUCGAGAGGGGAGCUUGGAUAGUGGGGGCUGCUGGUGACUAGGGACUUUUGUCCCUAGACUCGGCUCUCCUCAAAUAUAUAGGCUUGCGGUUAACUUUUCGAGUUUGCGCGAAAAGGCUUUCGGCGUGAUAAUGAUCGCUGUGUGCUGAAGUGCAUAAAUGAAAAGUUUCGUGCCUCUMAUAUUAUUAUGUUGACUGUUUAUUCAGUCUUCAAAAAAUUGACAUUUUGACCUCAAAUCAGGUAGGACUACCCGCUGAACUUAAGCAUAUCAAUAAGCGGAGGAAAAGAAACUAACAAGGAUUCCCCUAGUAACUGCGAGUGAACCGGGAAAAGCUCAAAUUUUGAAUCUGGCAGUCUUUUAGAUUGUCCGA